GUUUUAAUAAUUUAAUAAAAAUAUUGGUCUUGUAAACCAGAAAUAAGAGCCUCUCUUUUAAAACU
rnacentral:tRNA from 1 species